UUUCUAUGAAGAUAACUUUGUCCAGUUCUGCUACUGAAUGAUAAUGAUCGAUAUUAGUGACUCUGAGAAAA
rnacentral:snoRNA from 8 species